AUUGAACGCUGGCGGCAGGCCUAACACAUGCAAGUCGAGCGGUAGAGAGGUGCUUGCACCUCUUGAGAGCGGCGGACGGGUGAGUAAUGCCUAGGAAUCUGCCUGGUAGUGGGGGAUAACGCUCGGAAACGGACGCUAAUACCGCAUACGUCCUACGGGAGAAAGCAGGGGACCUUCGGGCCUUGCGCUAUCAGAUGAGCCUAGGGCGGAUUAGCUAGUUGGUGAGGUAAUGGCUCACCAAGGAGACGAUCCGUAACUGGUCUGAGAGGAUGAUCAGUCACACUGGAACUGAGACACGGUCCAGACUCCUACGGGAGGCAGCAGUGGGGAAUAUUGGACAAUGGGCGAAAGCCUGAUCCAGCCAUGCCGCGUGUGUGAAGAAGGUCUUCGGAUUGUAAAGCACUUUAAGUUGGGAGGAAGGGUCGUUACCUAAUACGUGACGAUUUUGACGUUACCGACAGAAUAAGCACCGGCUAACUCUGUGCCAGCAGCCGCAGUAAAAC
rnacentral:rRNA from 1 species